ACUUGCUGCUUAUCCCUGUGGCCCGUGGUGCAGUGCUGCAUCUCUGGUCAGUUGGUAGUCUGAGAUGAAGCACUGUAGCUCGGGACGGAGGACAGACAGAGCUGU
rnacentral:pre_miRNA from 12 species